rnacentral:sRNA from 1 species
AUCAACUUUCGAUGGUAGGAUAGAGGCCUACCAUGGUGGUAACGGGUAACGGGGUGUUAGGGCACGACACCGGAGAGGGAGCCUGAGAAACGGCUACCACAUCCAAGGAURGCAGCAGGCGCGCAAAUUACCCAAUCCCGACACGGGGAGGUAGUGACAAUAAAUAACAAUACGGGGUUCUUUCGGAUCUCGUAAUUGGAAUGAGUACAAUUUAAAUCUCUUAACGAGGAACAAUUGGAGGGCAAGUCUGGUGCCAGCAGCCGCGGUAAUUCCAGCUCCAAUAGCGUAUAUUAAAGUUGUUGCAGUUAAAAAGCUCGUAGUUGAAUUUCGGGGUUAGUAGGUUGGUCAUGCCUCUGGUAUGUACUGGCCUCACUGAUUCCUCCUUCCUGAUGAUCCGUAAUGCCAUUUAUUUGGUGUUGCGGGGAAUUUGGACUGUUACUUUGAAAAAAUUAGAGUGUUUAAAGCAAGCUAACGCUUGAAUACAUUAGCAUGGAAUAAUGAAAUAGGACGUUCGAUCCUAUUUUGUUGGUUUCUAGGAUUGACGUAAUGAUUAAUAGGGAUAGUUGGGGGCAUUAGUAUUCAAUUGUCAGAGGUGAAAUUCUUGGAUUUAUUGAAGACUAACUACUGCGAAAGCAUUUGCCAAGGAUGUUUUCAUUAAUCAAGAACGAAAGUUAGGGGAUCGAAGACGAUCAGAUACCGUCGUAGUCUUAACCAUAAACUAUGCCGACUAGGGAU